GACGAACGCUGGCGGCGUGCUUAACACAUGCAAGUCGUACGGUAAGGCCCUUUCGGGGGUACACGAGUGGCGAACGGGUGAGUAACACGUGAGUAACCUGCCCACAACUUUGGGAUAACGCUAGGAAACUGGUGCUAAUACUGGAUAUGUGCUCCUGCUGCAUGGUGGGGGUUGGAAAGCUCCGGCGGUUGUGGAUGGACUCGCGGCCUAUCAGCUUGUUGGUGGGGUAGUGGCCUACCAAGGCGGCGACGGGUAGCCGGCCUGAGAGGGUGACCGGCCACAUUGGGACUGAGAUACGGCCCAGACGCCUACGGGAGGCAGCAGUGGGGAAUAUUGCACAAUGGGCGCAAGCCUGAUGCAGCAACGCCGCGUGCGGGAUGACGGCCUUCGGGUUGGAAACCGCUUUCAGCAGGGACGAAGCUUUUUGUGACGGUACCUGCAGAAGAAGCACCGGCUAACUACGUG
rnacentral:rRNA from 1 species